ensembl:lncRNA
UGCCUCAGAUGAAUAUUCCUGAAACAGAACAGGAUGGACUUGCUAAAACCAAAUCACGCACUCAUCCUGCACCGACGGAGGGGGAAGUCGGGGACCCCGCACAUGCAGGCAGCGCUCAACCAUCAGGAAAUACUCUUUUCACCCAGACAGAGGGCUCAAACUGGGGACCUUCUUGCUGUGAGACAACAGUGCCAACCACUGAGCCACUGUGCCGCCCCGAAGACUGAAUUCAGCUUUGGAAUCAUAGGAAUAAAUCACAUUUUAAAAUAUAAAACAGUUAUUUUAACUUAUAUAAUAAUAUUUAAAAUAUUUAAGAUAUUAUUUUCUAUCAGUAAUCUAAAAGUUUACAGAUAGGAGAAAUAAAGAU